rnacentral:lncRNA from 1 species
CUGAUGUACCACAGCCAGACCUCCUGCACCAUAGCGCUCAGCUAGGUCUUUAGCAGAGGAGGAGGAUGUAUAAUAGCGUAUGCAGGGCUUCCACAUUGCUGUAGCUAAGCUGAUUUUCUUCCCCAUAUAUUAGCUUGUUUGGAGCCUGGUCAGCUAUCUACAUAUCAUAUGCUGUGCUGUACUAUAUACAAGAGACAAACGUCACAACUGGGCAGAAAGCAACGAUCCUUGUAGUGGGGUUAACAUCCGUGGUCUCUGAGUCUGGCUCAGAGGGAAUAAUAACUUCAAGACGUGGAAUUAAAACUGCUUUACUACUGUGAGCUUUAAUGUUAAUUAGCUGUAUGAGUGGACAUCUGUGCAGGACUUGCUAAAGCUCCAAAUCCUGACUGAACAUUACUCUAUUGGGAAAUGCUGGACCUCAGUCUGCAUGAAGAUAGAGCCCAGGAGAGAAAUCUCAGCAUCAUGCCAAUGCAAGAGUUUUGUUAUCCCUUCUUUUGGGAAAAAGGCAACAGAGAUGAGGACUGAGAUGUGGAAGAACACUUUCCCAGGCAGGGCAGCAUCCCUGGUCAUGACUCUCCUGAGCUUCCUCUCCCAGCUUCACCGUAGACCUCUCAGAUACCAGUCCAGCUGA